ensembl:lncRNA
AUGAACUUUUUCCGCAUUCUGCAUUUGCAUUCAUGCAAACAUGAUGGAAGCACAGUCUGAACUCUCUCAGGCAGCUUUCAUGUCAUUUCUUUAAAGAGUCUUCAGGAAUAGUUCUCGAGGCUUCUUGAAGGACAUUCAAAGCUCUUCUCUGGAUGUUUCUGCCUGUUGUUAUCUGCCUGUUCAUCAGAAAUGUUCUCAGUGGAAGGGUAUCUGUCAAGGAGGCCAUUCUUAAGGAAGGGAAACAGGGACAAAAGUCUAAGGCAUGAAGGUGUGCGUGUCUUUUUCUAAGGAGCAACUCCUGAAAUUCACCUGUGGGCACCGUGGUUUUCUGUUUUUGUCUCACUCUGGCUGACAGAAGGAGACUACACCAUCAGAUAAGCGUGACAGCAUGUCAGAGUGUAGUAAACGCUCAGAGCAAAGAUGCCUGGAAUGCAUUUCCUCCUGUCAGAAGGGAAAAGGGUGUGGGUGUAAUUACACCACAAAUGACCGUAUCUCUUUUUAAUAAUACAGGAAUUACAGCUGACAGAUUAGCGCAGACACGUGUGUUUUGCGGGGGGAUUUCUUUUUUUACUUUUUUUUUUCUGUCGUUCUUUAAUUUGUCUCUUUUUCCGCUCUGCCCCGCCCAGAAGAGAGGAGGAGAGGAAGGCAAAAGAGUUCGAGACACAACAUUUGUAUGUAGAACAGAGAGUGUGGUCCGCACUGAAAACUUCGUAGUUUCAGGCCUCAGAAUCUGGUUUGGCUGCUUUCACUGUGCUCUUGGACAGUUCGCCACUGCUUUGUUUAGGACAUUGAUUUGAAAUUGCCUCUACAAUACAUACUUCAGUUUUAUUGUCAUUGUAUGAUGCAAACUAUUUAAAACCACACAAUUAUUGCUACAGUGUCCCCCUCUUUGCUUCCUCUCUGCCUUUUAUUGACCAACCCAGUUUCUUUGCAUAUUUUUCCUCAUGUCUGGCUCUGUGAUCACAGCGCUGUGCCAAGUAGGUUUCGGCAUCGUUGUCAGUCCGCCCUCAUUCCAGCUCGGUGACCCUAAACAAGGAGAGACAGGGACAAAUAAAAAUGAGGUGACGCUGAUUUCAGAGACUGGAGUUGAACCAAAAAGCUUAAACACUUAGAAUCAUUGACUUAUUCAUAUUUUCCUGCAUUACAAGGGACUUGCAAUAGUGAGGAUUUCGCUCAUUUUAGAAUACAGUACCUCAUGUAUGAACAUAAGGCAAGUAUGCAUCUGCCUUGGCCUUAAAAAACAAGUGAAAAAUCUAAUUUACUGCCAUCAGCACACAGUGAGCGGGUAAAAUAACAGCUGUUUAAUAUGCCAGUCCAUUACAGCCACAAAUUAUGGUUUCAAGUAUCACAGUAUAAGCAGAUUAGUGCAAUUCUCUGUUGCCGCAGCCAUUUUGCAAUAAACUGUCAUCAUGUGGAAAAAAAGUUUGGGAAAUACCGCUGACAGGAACAAGUGUCUGUGUUGCACAGAAGUCUAACCUCUGGUUCAGAGUCUGGGAAUGUCCUGAAUAAUUUAGUGUUGACACCAAAUAAUGAGACAGUCCCAGAUACCAACCCUGAGCGGAGGUCACAGGAUAUGGUCCUGCAGGAAUAAGGCAACGUGUGAUGAGCGACACAUGGAAAAAGACGCGGGGAAGGAAGUGUCAUGGUCCUGAGUCUGCCGACUCCAUGUUUUGUGUCUCUUUAUGCUUUUGUUUUGUUUAUUCUGAGUAUGUAUUCUGUUGUGAUUUGCCAUUUGUUAGGUUUCUGUUCUGUGCUUACCCUGGUCCCACUUCUGUGUUCUGUCUGUCUAUGGUGUCACACUGUCUGUUUGUGAAUCUGUCUGUUUAGUUCAGUGUCUUGUCUGGUUCUCUGUGUCUGAGUUUCCUGUUUUAUUCUGAAGGUCCCCGUCUCAUGUGAGUGUGUUCAGGUUACGUUUCCCCUAACCCGUCAGCUCUGACUUCUCCCAGCUGUGUUGCCCUCCUGUCUCUCGUCCCCUGAUUACUGCUGUGUGUAUUUAAACCCUGUGUGUUCUCCUGCUUGUUGCCGGUUCGUCUGUGUUCCAUGGUGUUUUGUUCCCCUCUCUGCCCCAUGUGUUCUCGGGUUUGUUAUUUAGUUUUCCCAGUUUAGGUUUCUUUAGUUACUUGUCAUCCCUCACUGCCUGUUUGCCAUUACACCACCUUGUAAAUAAAUGUCACUCGAAUCAUC